rnacentral:rRNA from 1 species
UACGAAGGGGGCUAGCGUUGUUCGGAAUUACUGGGCGUAAAGCGCACGUAGGCGGACAUUUAAGUCAGGGGUGAAAUCCCGGGGCUCAACCCCGGAACGGCCUUUGAUACUGGGUGUCUUGAGUUCGGAAGAGGUGAGUGGAAUUGCGAGUGUAGAGGUGAAAUUCGUAGAUAUUCGCAAGAACACCAGUGGCGAAGGCGGCUUACUGGUCCGGAACUGACGCUGAGGUGCGAAAGCGUGGGGAGCAAACAGG